UAAAUUGAGAGUUUGAUCCUGGCUCAGGAUGAACGCUGGCGGCGUGCCUAAUACAUGCAAGUCGAACGAAACUUCUUUAUCACCGAGUGCUUGCACUCACCGAUAAAGAGUUGAGUGGCGAACGGGUGAGUAACACGUGGGCAACCUGCCCAAAAGAGGGGGAUAACACUUGGAAACAGGUGCUAAUACCGCAUAACCAUAGUUACCGCAUGGUAACUAUGUAAAAGGUGGCUAUGCUACCGCUUUUGGAUGGGCCCGCGGCGCAUUAGCUAGUUGGUGGGGUAAAGGCUUACCAAGGCAAUGAUGCGUAGCCGAACUGAGAGGUUGAUCGGCCACAUUGGGACUGAGACACGGCCCAAACUCCUACGGGAGGCAGCAGUAGGGAAUCUUCCACAAUGGGCGAAAGCCUGAUGGAGCAACGCCGCGUGGGUGAAGAAGGUCUUCGGAUCGUAAAACCCUGUUGUUAGAGAAGAAAGUGCGUGAGAGUAACUGUUCACGUUUCGACGGUAUCUAACCAGAAAGCCACGGCUAACUACGUGCCAGCAGCCGCGGUAAUACGUAGGUGGCAAGCGUUAUCCGGAUUUAUUGGGCGUAAAGGGAACGCAGGCGGUCUUUUAAGUCUGAUGUGAAAGCCUUCGGCUUAACCGGAGUAGUGCAUUGGAAACUGGGAGACUUGAGUGCAGAAGAGGAGAGUGGAACUCCAUGUGUAGCGGUGAAAUGCGUAGAUAUAUGGAAGAACACCAGUGGCGAAAGCGGCUCUCUGGUCUGUAACUGACGCUGAGGUUCGAAAGCGUGGGUAGCAAACAGGAUUAGAUACCCUGGUAGUCCACGCCGUAAACGAUGAAUGCUAAGUGUUGGAGGGUUUCCGCCCUUCAGUGCUGCAGCUAACGCAAUAAGCAUUCCGCCUGGGGAGUACGACCGCAAGGUUGAAACUCAAAGGAAUUGACGGGGGCCCGCACAAGCGGUGGAGCAUGUGGUUUAAUUCGAAGCAACGCGAAGAACCUUACCAGGUCUUGACAUCUUUUGCCAAUCCUAGAGAUAGGACUUUCCCUUCGGGGACAAAAUGACAGGUGGUGCAUGGUUGUCGUCAGCUCGUGUCGUGAGAUGUUGGGUUAAGUCCCGCAACGAGCGCAACCCUUAUUGUUAGUUGCCAGCAUUAAGUUGGGCACUCUAGCAAGACUGCCGGUGACAAACCGGAGGAAGGUGGGGAUGACGUCAAAUCAUCAUGCCCCUUAUGACCUGGGCUACACACGUGCUACAAUGGACGGUACAACGAGUCGCAAGACCGCGAGGUUUAGCAAAUCUCUUAAAGCCGUUCUCAGUUCGGAUUGUAGGCUGCAACUCGCCUACAUGAAGUCGGAAUCGCUAGUAAUCGCGGAUCAGCAUGCCGCGGUGAAUACGUUCCCGGGCCUUGUACACACCGCCCGUCACACCAUGAGAGUUUGUAACACCCAAAGCCGGUGGGGUAACCUUUUGGAGCCAGCCGUCUAAGGUGGGACAGAUGAUUAGGGUGAAGUCGUAACAAGGUAGCCGUAGGAGAACCUGCGGCUGGAUCACCUCCUUU
rnacentral:rRNA from 1 species